rnacentral:rRNA from 1 species
ACGGGAGGCAGCAGUGAGGAAUAUUGGUCAAUGGGCGGAAGCCUGAACCAGCCAUCUCGCGUGCAGGACUACGGCCCUACGGGUCUUAAACUGCUUUUAUGGGGGGAUAAAGUCGGGCAUUCGUGCCCGUUUGCAGGUACCCCAUGAAUAAGGAUCGGCUAACUCCGUGCCAGCAGCCGCGGUAAUACGGAGGAUCCGAGCGUUAUCCGGAUUUAUUGGGUUUAAAGGGUGCGCAGGCGGCCCGUUAAGUCAGCGGUGAAAUGUCGGGGCUCAACCCGGGCACUGCCGUUGAAACUGGGGGGCUUGAGUACGGAUGAGGUCGGCGGAAUGUGUGGUGUAGCGGUGAAAUGCAUAGAUAUCACACAGAACACCGAUUGCGAAGGCAGGAUACCAUACCAUAUCUGACGCUCAGGCACGAAAGCGUGGGGAUCGAACAGGAUUAGAUACCCUGGUA